UACAGAGGUGGCAAGCGUUGUCCGGAAUUAUUGGGCGUAAAGAGCUCGUAGGCGGUCUGUCGCGUCGAUCGUGAAAACUUGGGGCUUAACCCUGAGCUUGCGGUCGAUACGGGCAUGACUGGAGUUCGGCAGGGGAGACUGGAAUUCCUGGUGUAGCGGUGAAAUGCGCAGAUAUCAGGAGGAACACCAGCGGCGAAGGCGGCGCUCUGGGCCGGAACUGACGCUGAGGCACGAAGGUCAGGGGAGCAAACGGG
rnacentral:rRNA from 1 species